GGGGGGGGGGGGGGGGGGGGGUGGGGGGGGGGGGUGGGGGGGAGGGGGGGGGGGGUUGCGGGUCGGACGUUAGGGGGGGGGGGGUGGGUGAGGCGUGGAGCGCCUACCUAUCAGACUGGGGUCGCUUCGGGAAAGGGGGGCUAAUACCGGAUGAUAUAUUGGACCGCGUGGUUGAGUGGUGAAAUACGGUUUUGCUGUCCCUUAUCGAUGGCUCCGCGCGGCAUUAGCUAGUUGGUAAGGUAACGGCCUACCAAGGCUACGAUGCGUGGCCGACCUGAGGGGCUGAUCGGCCACACUGGAACUGAGACACGGUCCAGACUCCUACGGUAGGCAGCAGUAGGGAAUCUUCCGCAAUGGUCGAAAGCUUGACGGAGCAACGCCGCGUGAGUGAUGAAGGUCUUCGGAUCGUAAAACUCUGUUAUGAGGGAAGAACAAAUGUGUAAGUAACUAUGCACGUCUUGACGGUACCUAAUCAGAAAGCCACGGCUAACUACGUG
rnacentral:rRNA from 1 species